rnacentral:rRNA from 1 species
UACGGGGGUAAACGGGUGGAGCCCUAAGUGCCGAGCGGGGAGACUCAGUUCGGUGCGGGUCCGGCGCAGCGCGCGUAGCUCGGUGUCGAGCCGCCCUCGUGGCGGACGGCGCCGGGGCCGCGCGCGGCGGCCGGUGCUCGCUCCGAGCGCACUUCUCCCCUAGUAGGGCGUCGCGACCCGCUGGGCGUCGGUCUACGGCCCGGGGAUCAGUCCCGUCCGCCUCGGCGGGCGGGCCCCCGGAGUCCCGGCCGACCGCUCGGCGGUGGUGCACGAGGAGGAGGCCCGCGGGACGCCACGCGUCUCGCGCCGGCGGCCUGGGCGAACGUCCGCCUGGUGUCCGCGCUCGGGCUUGCCCGACGCGGCCCAUGCGGCGUGUCGGCUCGGGGCCCGCUCCGGCAGGGUCGACGUCUCUCGUCCGCGACGUUAACAAGUGGGCGGCCCACCCGACCCGUCUUGAAACACGGACCAAGGAGUCCAGCAUGCGCGCGAGUCGACGGGACUAUCUAGACCCGAAGGCGUAUUGAACGAAAAGGCCCGCCUCGCGCGGGCUUAGGGGAGAUGGCGGCCCUCGGGCCGCCCGCACCCCCGGGGCGUCUCGAUCUACCGCCGCUCGUCGGCGGAAGGCGAGGCGCACCUAGAGCGCGCACGCUGGGACCCGAAAGAUGGUGAACUAUGCCUGGCCAGGACGAAGUCAGGGGAAACCCUGAUGGAGGUCCGUAGCGAUUCUGACGUGCAAAUCGAUCGUCAGAGCUGGGUAUAGGGGCGAAAGACUAAUCGAUACC